rnacentral:lncRNA from 10 species
GGGGCGGGUCUAGAACUCACCUGCGGACUAUGGAGGCCGUGCGUGUGGGCUGGGGCAGGGCUGUGAGCACAAGUCAGGGGUGAGGCCAGGACGGCCACAGAGGGUGUGGUGUGGCAAGUCAAGUAGCUCCUUGAGGAAUAUCGCAGGGUUCUUCUGAAGACUGGGGCCUGGGGCCUGGGGAUGGGAACUUGCGUAUCCCUCCCAAAACCCUACCUAUGGGGGGAGAAUGUGGUGGCCCAUGCCUGUAAUCCCAGCACUUUGGGAGGGCAAGGCGGGCGGAUCACCUGACGUCAGAAGUUCGAGACCAGCCUGGCCAACAUGGUGAAACCCCGUCUGUACUAAAAAUACAAAAAUUAGCCGGUCGUGGUGGCACGCGCUUGUAGUCCUAGCUACCCUGGGAGGCUGAGGCAGGACCCAGGAGGCGGAGGUUGCGACCUACUCAGGCCUCUUCUGUGUCACCAUCAACCCCUACAAAUGGCUCCCAGUCUAUACGGCCUCCGUAGUGGCUGCUUACAAGGGAAAGCGCCGCUCAGAUUCCCCGCCCCAUAUAUAUGCGGUGGCGGACAACGCCUACAACGACAUGCUGCGCAACCGAGACAACCAGUCCAUGCUGAUCACGUGAGUGUGGGGCUCUGGGGGUGGGGUGGAAAAUGCUGGCCAUCUGGCAGAAAGAGGGCGGUACCACAGUCAUUUCCCAGGAUUGAAUCCAAAGUGCUUAGGCCAGGACUUUUACCACCUGGAGCUAGUGUCCCAGCUGAAGCUAAAUUAGGCCUGAGCACUUUCCCUGCCCCCAUUCUGAACAGAUGUGUUCUUGAUGGGGGAUAGGGAGGGGA